GACGAACGCUGGCGGCGUGCUUAACACAUGCAAGUCGAACGGAAAGGCCCUGCUUUUGUGGGGUGCUCGAGUGGCGAACGGGUGAGUAACACGUGAGUAACCUGCCCUUGACUUUGGGAUAACUUCAGGAAACUGGGGCUAAUACCGGAUAGGAGCUCCUGCUGCAUGGUGGGGGUUGGAAAGUUUCGGCGGUUGGGGAUGGACUCGCGGCUUAUCAGCUUGUUGGUGGGGUAGUGGCUUACCAAGGCUUUGACGGGUAGCCGGCCUGAGAGGGUGACCGGCCACAUUGGGACUGAGAUACGGACCAGACUCCUACGGGAGGCAACAGUGGGGAAUAUUGCACAAUGGGCGGAAGCCUGAUGCAGCAACGCCGCGUGCGGGAUGACGGCCUUCGGGUUGUAAACCGCUUUCGCCUGUGACGAAGCGUGAGUGACGGUAAUGGGUAAAGAAGCACCGGCUAACUACGU
rnacentral:rRNA from 1 species